rnacentral:rRNA from 1 species
CAGCCGCCGCGGGAACACGAAGGGGGCUAGCGUUGCUCGGAAUGACUGGGCGUAAAGGGCGCGUAGGCGGUUUGUACAGUUGGAUGUGAAAUUCCUGGGCUUAACCUGGGGGCUGCAUUCAAUACGUGCAGGCUUGAGUGGGGAAGAGGGUCGUGGAAUUCCCAGUGUAGAGGUGAAAUUCGUAGAUAUUGGGAAGAACACCGGUGGCGAAGGCGGCGACCUGGUCCUUGACUGACGCUGAGGCGCGAAAGCGUGGGGAGCAAACAGGAUUAGAUACCCGCGUAGUCCUGUCUCUUAUACC